rnacentral:sRNA from 1 species
UAGUAAAUAGAAAUUUAAAAGUUUUCACUAUACCAAUUUGAAUAUCUUUCUAAAUUUUAUCUGCUACAAAGUGCCUAUUUUUAUA